UAUUAGUUAAACUAUAUUAGUUUGUUGAUAGGAAGACGAUAGAGGUAGCUAAAUUUCAUUUUGAUCUUAACGAUAAUAAUAAUAAUAAUAUCACCUCGACGACUUGAUGAAUCGCAUGCCUUUGUUUCAGAGUUUUAUUCAAUAUUAUCUGCGUCUCGGUUUCGAACAAUUCGCAUUUCAGCCUUAACGUUUGUUCCGUUUUCUUGCGUUCGAUGUUGAUGGCAUCGAGCUCUCUGUUGGUUUUUAGCAAUUUAUCAAGAUCUCGAUUCAACGCUACGUUUUCAUGAAUUGCACGAUUCAUGACUUCCGUUAUCCGCAAUGUGACCGCCUUCAGAAGUCUCUCCGAUAAAAUUUGCAAAUGUUCUUUCAUCUCUUUCUGCAUCCUGCACACAUUCAUCGCGAUUGCAUACAGUUACCGCAAUCAUCGGCUCGUAAAUUUUUCUAUAUUCCUAGAUUUAACGAUCGCAAGCGAGAUACAUAGAUUCACAGUAUUUCAGAAAGUAUCUGCAGACAUCUUUCAUGGAUAGUGGAGGUGGUGGUUGUGGCCUGCGAAAAUAAAUAAUUAAACUGAGCAUGCCAGUGAGCAAUCCGAUAAGAUAUAAGUCCCAGUUCUGACCCAAAAGCUGGUCCCACUUAUUUAAAUGAUCAGCAAGGCUAAAUUCUUGCAGAUAUUCCAGUCCAAAGAAAAAUGAAAGUUUAAUGAGAGCCAGUGCUACAGGAAUUCUUGCAUCUGGACUAGCUUCAGCCGCUAGAUCAUAACAUCGUUUGGCUAGAUGUCGAUCUUUUGCAAGACCCAAGCCACGUUCAUGCAUGUAUCCCAAGUUAAACAUUGCUUGCGCAUUAUGUUGUUGUUCAGAUGCUGAUCGAUAAUGAGUAGCUGCAGCCUCAUAGUCAACUUUUGUUCCACGACCAUAGUAAUGAGCAUCUCCUAAUUUGACCUGUUAUAAUAAAUUUUUUGCAAACAAUAGUAGAUAAAAUUUUUAAUAAUAAUUCGAUAGUUUUCGGAUAAAUUAUUUUCCUUACUUAAUUUGCGCAGAAAAUAACAUACCUGAGCAGUAGAAUAUCCUUGAGCAGCUGCUCUUGCCCAUAAAGCAAGAGCCCUAACUAAUCCCUCUUCUUCUGAUAAUAUUGUAGUUUCUCCUUUAUCCAAUAUAAAUGCAGCAUUACUCUGUGCUACUUCAUAACCCAUUUCUGCAAGGAGAGCAUAAUUGACGAAAGCCUCGUUUAUUCUACCUUCUCUGUAAUCUGUGUGAGCAACCAUUAGCUGGUCGCUCCAUUUGCCCCUUUCUGCGACAUUUUUUAGAAGUUCGACAGCAGCUGGACAACUACGCAUCAUGCCUGUUCCAGUAGCAUGCAUUUGUGCCAAAUUAUAGAAUGCCAAAACAUGACCAGAUUGACUAGCCAAACUAAAAUACUUGUUGGCUAAUUUGUAAUCGCGUCUUACUCCUGUACCACCUAUUAGACAAUUGUUUUAUUAGGAUAACUAUAAUAAAUUGUAUAAAAUUUAUUAUGUAAAAUAAUGAAUU
rnacentral:misc_RNA from 1 species